rfam:Flavobacterium frigoris PS1 66_20, whole genome shotgun sequence.
UUUUAGCCCCGAUAGCAGUGAAAAUCCCACGUUUUUACGUGGAUUGAAACGGAUAGCGGGAAUAGCU